AGGAAUCAAUACACAUUGAACAGUAUCAUCGUAUUAUAAUAAUUUGUAUUUUUAUGCACCACACUUUUAUAUUUUAUGGUUGUUUUUGCUUUUUCGUUUUGCUCGUGUUUGUGUUUUGUAAUUUGUUGAAUCAAAACCGUUCUUCCUAGGAAUGCAUUUUUUGAAAA
rnacentral:ribozyme from 1 species